rnacentral:rRNA from 1 species
UACGUAGGGUGCGAGCGUUGUCCGGAAUUAUUGGGCGUAAAGAGCUCGUAGGCGGUGUGUCACGUCGUUCGUGAAAACCUGCAGCUUAACUGUGGGCGUGCGGUCGAUACGGGCAUCACUGGAGUUCGGCAGGGGAGACUGGAAUUCCUGGUGUAGCGGUGAAAUGCGCAGAUAUCAGGAGGAACACCGGUGGCGAAGGCGGGUCUCUGGGCCGAUAUCGACGCUGAGGAGCGAAAGCGUGGGGAGCGAACAGG